rnacentral:rRNA from 1 species
GACGAACGCUGGCGGCGUGCUUAACACAUGCAAGUCGAACGGAAAGGCCCUGCUUUUGCGGGGUGCUCGAGUGGCGAACGGGUGAGUAACACGUGAGUAACCUGCCCUUGACUUUGGGAUAACUUCAGGAAACUGGGGCUAAUACCGGAUAGGAGCUCCUGCUGCAUGGUGGGGGUUGGAAAGUUUCGGCGGUUGGGGAUGGACUCGCGGCUUAUCAGCUUGUUGGUGGGGUAGUGGCUUACCAAGGCUUUGACGGGUAGCCGGCCUGAGAGGGUGACCGGCCACAUUGGGACUGAGAUACGGCCCAGACUCCUACGGGAGGCAGCAGUGGGGAAUAUUGCACAAUGGGCGGAAGCCUGAUGCAGCAACGCCGCGUGCGGGAUGACGGCCUUCGGGUUGUAAACCGCUUUCGCCUGUGACGAAGCGUGAGUGACGGUAAUGGGUAAAGAAGCACCGGCUAACUACGUGCCAGCAGCCGCGGUGAUACGUAGGGUGCGAGCGUUGUCCGGAUUUAUUGGGCGUAAAGGGCUCGUAGGUGGUUGAUCGCGUCGGAAGUGUAAUCUUGGGGCUUAACCCUGAGCGUGCUUUCGAUACGGGUUGACUUGAGGAAGGUAGGGGAGAAUGGAAUUCCUGGUGGAGCGGUGGAAUGCGCAGAUAUCAGGAGGAACACCAGUGGCGAAGGCGGUUCUCUGGGCCUUUCCUGACGCUGAGGAGCGAAAGCGUGGGGAGCGAACAGGCUUAGAUACCCUGGUAGUCCACGCUGUAAACGGUGGGUACUAGGUGUGGGGUCCAUUCCACGGGUUCCGUGCCGUAGCUAACGCUUUAAGUACCCCGCCUGGGGAGUACGGCCGCAAGGCUAAAACUCAAAGGAAUUGACGGGGCCCCGCACAAGCGGCGGAGCAUGCGGAUUAAUUCGAUGCAACGCGUAGAACCUUACCUGGGUUUGACAUGGAUCGGGAGUGCUCAGAGAUGGGUGUGCCUCUUUUGGGGUCGGUUCACAGGUGGUGCAUGGCUGUCGUCAGCUCGUGUCGUGAGAUGUUGGGUUAAGUCCCGCAACGAGCGCAACCCUUGUUCACUGUUGCCAGCACGUUAUGGUGGGGACUCAGUGGAGACCGCCGGGGUCAACUCGGAGGAAGGUGGGGAUGACGUCAAGUCAUCAUGCCCCUUAUGUCCAGGGCUUCACGCAUGCUACAAUGGCUGGUACAGAGAGUGGCGAGCCUGUGAGGGUGAGCGAAUCUCGGAAAGUCGGUCUCAGUUCGGAUUGGGGUCUGCAACUCGACCUCAUGAAGUCGGAGUCGCUAGUAACCGCAGAUCAGCAACGCUGCGGUGAAUACGUUCCCGGGGCU